UACGUAGGUGGCAAGCGUUGUCCGGAUUUACUGGGCGUAAAGAGCGCGCAGGCGGUCGUCCAAGUCGCGUGUGAAAGCCCCCGGCUCAACUGGGGAGGGUCACGCGAUACUGGUCGACUCGAAGGCAGGAGAGGGUAGUGGAAUUCCCGGUGUAGUGGUGAAAUGCGUAGAUAUCGGGAGGAACACCAAUGGCGAAGGCAGCUCGCUGGGACGUUACUGACGCUGAGACGCGAAAGCGUGGGGAGCAAACAGG
rnacentral:rRNA from 1 species